ACUAAAACUUCAAUUGUCUCC
rnacentral:miRNA from 1 species